rnacentral:sRNA from 2 species
AUAUCUCUCCGUACGGGAAGGAUGAGAAGCUUCGACUAAGGUUCGAUUCGAGCGAAAGCGAGAAAGCGUUGCCGUAGGCAACGACCCGAAGGGCGAAGCGCGCAGCGCUGAGUCAUCCUUCCCCCACCACCA